rnacentral:lncRNA from 1 species
UUGCUGCCAUGGUGCACGACGAUCUUUUCUGACGUUUCCCUCGUUGAGAGGAAGGCCAACGUGUACGGCCUCUUCGAUGAGGAGGAGGAGGAGGAGGAGGAGGCCGAGAGCUUAUUCUACUGCGUGGCACCGGAGUGCCGAUCUGGCGUCGAGGAAGACCACCAGACCCACGCGGCUGGACACGACACGUUGCUCAUUAGGUUCUUAGGCGGAGGAGGUGGAGGUUAUCUUCGUGUGAUUGGGGAUGAGCCUUGGAGCUGGUUUGUUGGCGGGAUCGAGUCCAUUCCAGUAGAGAAGGGCAAGGGGAAGCUGGUCCCCCUGCGUCCACCGAGCGGGCGGCGCUGCAAGACGUGUGCGGACGUGCUGGUAGCCGCCGAGAGCGCGCUGUUUUGCACGUUCCAGUGCAAGGCGCGCUCUGGCGAGGUCGCCGGACACCGUUGGGCGCAGGACCUCCUACUGGACGAUUUUGCUGUGCCAUGCGAGAGGUUCGACCGUGUUUGCUGGGUUUAUCCCCCCAAGUCGUUCUGUGGUCUUUGCUGUGGUAGCCACCAUUCCUGCGCGCCUGGGACAUUCGGCAGCAAGAACUCGAGGUUCACCACCGGCCGCGUGAUCGACAGCGACGGCCGCACAGUGAUUCGCCACGUCAGUGACCCAGACGGCGGGCGCUGUAGGGGACGGUGUGUGGCCAUCAUCAUGGGCACACUUGGCUCCGUGUGUGCUUACAUGGUGGCCACCAUGGUGGCCUCGUCGUGGAUACUUACGGGCCUGGAUGCCGUUCAGUAUUGCACCGAUCCAGCAGUAGCACCAGGUCACCGUAUCAUCACGAUACGUUGCCCCAGCACAGCCAGGUGCCGUCAGUGUCAGUACAGGGUGUCAGCUGACAUGGUUUUGGAUUGUUCCCUCUCCUGUAAGCUGGCACUUUACCACCAGACAUGA